AGAGGAAACCUCGUGAAGGCCACAUGGGCUCCUAGUGAGAAGAUCGUGGAGCUUCAGUCUCCAACUGGAACGUUUUGGCAGACGAUGGGCUUUUCUGCCAACGGCAAGCAGGUUCUCUUCCCCGAAGAGGCUCUCUACCUGAUGGAGUGUUUUCGAUGGCCCGGUACCGGACCUAUGGUCCAUCAAGCGGCUGACCUUCCAGAGCGGAGACGUCCCGGUGGUCUUUGCUGUGGUGGACCACGGAGACAUCUCCUUCUACACCUUCAAAGACUUCCAGCUGCCCACUGACGUUUACCCCUGAGAUCUCACCGCUCUUUAACGUCACCGUCACACACGGGCCAACACGUAUCCAGGACUUUUACAUUCAUCUGCAUCUGUUGGGUCGGCUGGACGUCCAAAGAUAUCAAUAAAUCCAAUCGUUUAUGUUACAGAUGAAAAAACUAAUCCUGAAACUUGUAUUUUGUGUGUUUGGCCAGUGAUUUACAAUGAGGCUGGUUUUACUGCCAAAGUUCUUUUUCU